rnacentral:lncRNA from 1 species
GUGAGUUGAGAGGGCCCAGGGACUGCCAGCCUCUCGUCCCCCUCACAAACACGAUUCAACCUUCCACUGGUGGUGACCUGCCCUCCGGUGGGUCUUAGCAGCUGUUGGCAGUUUUGCACUAAAAGAAAACAAACUGAGGAAUGUACUUCCCUGCAUACUAACGAAAUGGCCCGGCCAACUCAGGGGUGAUGAGAAGGCUUUCGGAACCCAGGAGAAUAAUGAUCCUCAGUCUCUGACCUCCUGGCACGGCUUGCUGUUUAUCAGGAGGCACAUGUGACUGGCUAAGACGCUGAGCUGGGGCUUCAAGGAAACAGCUGCUGCUGGUGUACUUGGCUUUUGGCAGCUGGACAGGCAGAACACAGAGACAAAACCACCCCAUGUGAUUGAGUUGGAGUCAAAUCUACUAUGGUGUGAUACAGCAUUCACCUGUAAGGAGAUCUGGUUGUUUUCUGAGAUAGAGAAAAUGAAGUCUUCCCUCCAGCACACACUCUCUCUGCCCAACAAGAGCAUCAGCACACUUGGAAGUUCUGCCUUCUUAAGGCAGCUGUAUUUCCAUGGAGCAAGAGUGUACUCUGACCACAGGAAUAGCAUAC